rnacentral:rRNA from 1 species
UACGAAGGGGGCUAGCGUUGCUCGGAAUCACUGGGCGUAAAGGGCGCGUAGGCGGAUCUUUAAGUCGGGGGUGAAAGCCCAGGGCUCAACCCUGGAAUUGCCUUCGAUACUGAAGAUCUCGAGACCGGAAGAGGUAAGUGGAACUGCGAGUGUAGAGGUGAAAUUCGUAGAUAUUCGCAAGAACACCAGUGGCGAAGGCGGCUCACUGGUCCGGUUCUGACGCUGAGGCGCGAAAGCGUGGGGGAGCAAACAGG